rnacentral:misc_RNA from 1 species
GAUGAAGAACGUAGUGAAAUGCGAUACUUGGUGUGAAUUGCAGGAUCCCGUGAACCAUCGAGUCUUUGAACGCAAGUUGCGCCCGAAGCCAUUAGGCCGAGGGCACGCCUGCCUGGGCGUCACACGUCGUUGCCCCCCCAUCUACUCCUUCGGGAUUGCGGGGGGCGGAUGAUGGCCUCCCGUGCGCCUCGCCGCGCGGUUGGCAUAAAUGCCAAGUCCUCGGCGACGCACGCCACGACAAUCGGUGGUUGCGAAACCUCGGUUGCCCGUCGUGUGCGGUCGUCGCGCAUCGAGGGCUCGAAAAAAUUGCCGGGUUCCGGCUCGGCUUUCAACGCGACCCCAGGUCAGGCGGGGCUACCCGCUGAAUUUAAGCAUAUCAAUAAGCGGAGGA